rnacentral:rRNA from 1 species
GAAACGACUCUCGGCAACGGAUAUCUCGGCUCUCGCAUCGAUGAAGAACGUAGCGAAAUGCGAUACUUGGUGUGAAUUGCAGAAUCCCGUGAACCAUCGAGUCUUUGAACGCAAGUUGCGCCUGAAGUCAUUAGGCUAAGGGCACGUCUGCCUGGGCGUCACGC